CGUUGAUCCUGCCGGAGGCCGCUGCUAUCCGGCUGGGACUAAGCCAUGCUAGUCUAGGGGCUUGUACCCCUUCGGGGGUGCAAGCACCGGCGGACGGCUCAGUAACACGUGGACAACCUGCCCUCGGGUGGGGGAUAACCCCGGGAAACUGGGGCUAAUCCCCCAUAGGUGAUGGGUGCUGGAAUGCCCCAUCUCCGAAAGCGCUCAGCGCCCGAGGAUGGGUCUGCGGCGGAUUAGGUAGUUGGUGGGGUAACGGCCCACCAAGCCUAAGAUCCGUACGGGCUGUGGGAGCAGGAGCCCGGAGAUGGACCCUGAGACAAGGGUCCAGGCCCUACGGGGCGCAGCAGGCGCGAAACCUCCGCAAUGCGGGAAACCGCGACGGGGUUAGCCGGAGUGCCCGUGCAUUGCACGGGCUGUCGGGGUGCCUAAACAGCACCCCAUAGCAAGGGCCGGGCAAGGCCGGUGGCAGCCGCCGCGGUAAGACCGGCGGCCCGAGUGGCGGCCACUCUUAUUGGGCCUAAAGCGUCCGUAGCCGGCCCAGUAAGUCCCCCGGGAAAUCUGGUCGCUUAACGAUCAUACUUCCGGGGGAUACUGCUGGGCUAGGGACCGGGAGAGGCCGAGGGUAUUCCCGGGGUAGGGGUGAAAUCCUGUAAUCCCGGGAGGACCACCUGUGGCGAAGGCGCUCGGCUGGAACGGGUCCGACGGUGAGGGACGAAGGCCUGGGGAGCGAACCGGAUUAGAUACCCGGGUAGUCCAGGCUGUAAACGAUGCGGGCUAGGUGUCACCGGAGCUACGAGCUCCGGUGGUGCCGGAGGGAAGCCGUUAAGCCCGCCGCCUGGGAAGUACGGCCGCAAGGCUGAAACUUAAAGGAAUUGGCGGGGGAGCAC
rnacentral:rRNA from 1 species